UAAGGAAUAUUGCUCAAUGGGAGAAAUCCUGAAGCAGCAACGCCGCGUGGAGGAUGAAGGGCUUUCAGCUUGUAAACUCCUGUAAAGAAGGAAAAAAUUCCCAUUAGAUGGGAAAUGACGGUACUUCUAAAGUAAGCCCCGGCUACCUACGUGCCAGCAGCCGCGAUAAUACGUAGGGGGCAAGCGUUGUCCGGAUUUACUGGGUGUAAAGGGUGCUCAGGCGGAUUUGUAAGUCAGAGGUGAAAUCUCACAGCUUAACUGUGAAACUGCCUUUGAGACUGCAAGUCUAGAGUAUGGAAGAGAGUGGUGGAAUGUCUGGUGUAGCAGUGAAAUGCGUAGAUAUCAGAUAGAACACCAAUGGCGAAGGCAGUCACUUGGUCCAUUACUGACGCUAAAGCACGAAAGCGUGGGGAGCAAACA
rnacentral:rRNA from 1 species